UACGGAGGGUGCAAGCGUUAUCCGGAUUUACUGGGUUUAAAGGGUGCGUAGGUGGGUCUGUAAGUCAGUGGUGAAAUCUCCGAGCUUAACUCGGAAACUGCCAUUGAUACUAUAGAUCUUGAAUCAUCUGGAGGUGAACGGAAUAUGUCAUGUAGCGGUGAAAUGCUUAGAUAUGACAUAGAACACCAAUUGCGAAGGCAGCUCACUACGGAUUGAUUGACACUGAGGCACGAAAGCGUGGGGGAGCAAACAGG
rnacentral:rRNA from 1 species